rnacentral:piRNA from 1 species
UCCUGUUCACAGAGAAUCAAUCUGAGACAUC